UCUGAGAAAAAUGUCAUCAUAAUUGACCAGUUUAGUUGUUCUAGUUAUCCGGUAAUCGGCAAAAAACGCAUGCCAGCAUCCAGAAUGUGUGGAGAAUAUCUGGUGCACCCGGUGCAUGAAACUCUCGUGGCACAUUUUAAAAUGUUUGAAAAAUUGUGAAAAAAAAAAACCAACACAUUCACACAACACUAAUGUUUGUUGUCACAAAAUAGCAGAUAAAAAAUUGAAACCUAGCUUGGAAAAUAAAAUGACAAAUCCAAUACUAAACAUGGUAUGUCAAAUAAAGGACAUACGAGACACUAACUUCAACUAAAUAUGGAACUGAGGCCAGAACCAUGGAAUUAUGCUUGCGUGUUUUGUCACAACAAUAUGUCAACAGUAAAACCGCUACGGCCAAUACAGUUGGCAUUAUUAACCGUGAAGCAGAGUCCCUGCGGGAGGAUCAACCACACCUGAACACUCUGAAUCAUAGAAUGGCAUCCUGCUCUAUGUCCAGGCUGCUUGUAAUUAAGCAGUGCUUGAAACAAAAUUUUGCCAUACUGUGAGCACAUAGAAGUUCAAGCACCUUGCCUUUGUAGCAGAGAAGAUAUCUAGCUGGUGGUGAAUUUCUCAGGAUGGUGUAAAGGCUUGGUAGCUUUCUGUUCUGUCUUGGACUACAGCAUCCCUAAUUUCAGAAUGGCAUAUUACAGUGUGCAUGGAACAGAUGGAUGCUCAAUUUGAAGCCUGAGGUGACACCAGAUGGGCCUCGUUCUUCAACAGCGUGAUACCAAUGAUUAAAGUGGAUGCUUUCUCCUGCUACAGAAGAUAUGUUCCGCCAGCAGGCAAUGCAAAAGUAUGUAUUAAGUGGCAGAUAUGUUCUCAGAAGUUCUGCCGCCACUUGUUGGCAUUGAUUUGAAAAUUUUCAGAGAUUGUGAUUGAGAUUGUUGGCAUCUGGUGUCACCUUACUCACGCCUAUCAGGAGCAGCGAUCUUUAAGAUUGUACGAUUCUCCAGAUAUUCUGAAGAUCAGAAUGGUAUCCAGUUCUGCUAUUGUGACUCCAGUCUGCAGUGAUCGUCCUUCAGGUGUUCCUUUCAGUUUGCUCCAUGUCGACAAACACCUACACAGAGGAUUCCUGUUGGUGUUUGCACCUUCCCAUGUGCACAUAUCCGGGCUCCUGCUCGCGCUUACAAAGCCAAGAAAGAUCCUCAGCCAGACGCUAUUUGAUAGGACUAAAGACAAGCUCCCUGCUUGGUAGCUUUCUGUUCUGUCCUGGGCUACAGCACCCUUACUUUCAGAAUGGUGUAUUACACUUAGAAUGAACUGGAAGCAGACCUUUCACUUUGUGAAAAAAACAUGGAACAUGUGACAACAGCAAAUACGACCAACUCUCAGUUUCUACCAUGGCUGCCAGGCGUUGCUAUUAUCCUUCUGUGUUUUGUCAUGUGCACAUCUAAAGCAGCAAAAUUCGCCCUCAACCUCAAGCCCCAGAUUAUAGAAUACAUGUAGUAGAGCAGCUAUAUUAGCUAAUGGUGUAGAUCUUCUACAUGGUGCUACAAAUGAUUAAAGCGGAUGGUUCCUGAAACUAUGGGGGUCCAGUCCUGCCACAGAAUAUAUGUUCCACCAGCAGGCAACAUCCACUACAGAAGUAUGUAUUGAGUUGCAGCUAUCUUCUCAGAAAUUCUGCCACCACUUUUUUGGAAUAUUGAUUUCAGUGGCCACUAUUUAAAAGGUUCAGAGAAAUCAAUCAUUAAAUCAAGUGCCUCUGCAAGGAGCGGCUGUCCCUAAGAUUGUGCGAUUCUCCAGACAUUCUGAAGAUCAGAACGGUAUCCAGUUCUGCUUUUGUGACUCCAGUCUGCAGGUGUUCCUUCAGUUUGCUCCCUGUCAGACAAACACCUACACAGAGGGGUUCAGAGGAUGAUUCGAAGGCUUACCAUGACUGUUAUCGACAGUCGGUGGCACAGUCCACGCUCAAUGUUGUCUUGUUCGCCACCGAUCCAGUUGAGCACAGACAGUCAGGAUGAUCUACUGUCAGCUGCACCGCUGCAGCCCUCGCUGUAAGAGCUUCCUCAGCCAUCUCGACCAGUUGAUGGUGAUGCAUUCAGCAGAGCACAGAGGUGUAGAUAAAAAUCCCCAAGGGCGCAAUGUUGACGAUGUGUUGAUGUUCCCCCAGUUAUUUCUAGUCAAAUUCGGUUGCGCCUUGUUUCAUAUUCAACACUUAAUGAAGAAUGUAAUGAGUGAAUGGGUGGGAGAAAUUGUAAGGCUCGCUCAUUUGAUUGUUGUACUCUACUAUAAGAGGGCAGGCCUCAGUCUGAUGUCCCCAGUCCCUAGACAGCUAGGCCUUCUUAAAAUUGCAAAUUGAGCAGAUAUACAGGGGUCUCUUAUGUUUUGUGC